UACAGGGUAGUACAAUUUAUUGAUUGACAUAAACUUCUACAGUAAUUCAUCUGUUUUCCUGCCUGAAUUUUUUCAAGCUGCAGCACAGUGAUUAUUUAAUUGAGUUAAUUAAUUUAUUUUAGAGACAUGGUCUGACUCUUGCUCAGGCUGUUCUCAAACUCCUGGGCUCAACAAAUCCUCCAGCCUUUCAAGUAGCUGAAACUACAGAUGUGCGCCACCACAUCCAGCUUAUUUCUGGUCGGGCAAUGCUGGAAAGAUCCAUGAAUCUUACAUUACUAAUCUACCUGUUUGUUGUUCCAGUAUGUUAAAUCUAUAUUUCAAUAACUGUUGACUUUUGCCAGCCUUAUGUCUACUCUACCAUCAGUAGCAAGACAAUUGUGUAGAUCAGGGUUGUCCAUAGUAGUUAAAAGGUAAGAAUCGCUUGGCAUAUGUAUUAAUAUAGUAAUUCUAAGGUCUGUCUGCCAGAAAUUCUGAUUCUAAAAAUUGGUAUGGAUACCCAGAAUCUGUACAGUAGAUGACAUUUUAAGUUAGAAAUAUUUAAGCAACACUUAUAAAAAUGAUCAGGAAGAAGAAAAGAAUAACAGAAGAUACCAUUUAAAAAAUGCAUACAUCUUUUGGCCAAAUUCCAGAAAUUUAGACUAAAAUGUUUUGAAUAAAAAAGUGUUAAAAUAAUUUUAUUAAAUUUUAUGCUUCUUGAACUUCAAAUUGAAAGCAGAAGAAUAUUUUGGAAACAUUAUUUUAUUAUUUUCAUGAUCUCUAAAUGGAAAUCUGAAACAAAUUGAUUGGAAAGGUUGAAAUCAUUGAUUUUUCAAUAAGCUGCAUAAGCAAAAAUAAAAAUAAUAAAACAAAGAGUAAUCCCAAUUACAGACCAAAACAUCAUUUUUCUUUUGGGUAGAGCCUGAGAUAGGGCAUGUUAACCAAAGGGCAUGGAAUUGGGAACUAAAUGUGGGCAGCCACCCCAUGAAGAGCCACCUCUGCAGGCAUAACUCAACUUGUGCCUCCUCCAGGAGAAAUUAGGUGGAUUUUGAUAUAUUUUUAGAGCUGUUCUUCUCUAAUGCAGCUAUCAGGUCAAUCACUGCAUCCCCUUAGAGACAGACUGAGGAAAAGUUCAGGAAGGCCAUGAAUGUGUUAAGGGGCAAUCCCUCCUGGGAAAUAACAGAAAUGGGGAGAAAAUAAAGUGUUUCUUUAACAUGGAAGUUAGUCAGUAACCUUGUUUGCUUACCAAAGAAUUAGCUGUUUGUUUUAGGUGUCAUUUCUCAGGAUUUCUUCAGCUCCUACACUUCUCUAAUUCUGAAACACUAAUCUUACUCAUUGAAUCCAUGGAAGACAAAUCCUAAGCUCCCAUGGGGAAAGCCAAGAACUAACUUGAGUUUUGCUUCAGUACUCACAAAAGGACCAUGAACUCAUGCCGCCAUUAAACCAUUAAGUCAUCUUAAAAUGUUGUAUUUCAAUUUUAAAUACCUGCAAUUCAAGGCCUCAGUGCUUUAACCUUUGUCUUCCUGCUUUAUGAUGUUGUAGUACUCCUUUUACAGAAA
rnacentral:lncRNA from 1 species